rnacentral:rRNA from 1 species
AGUGAACGCUGGCGGUAGGCCUAACACAUGCGAGUCGAACGGCAGCACAGUAAGAGCUUGCUCUUACGGGUGGCGAGUGGCGGACGGGUGAGGAAUACAUCGGAAUCUACUUUUUCGUGGGGGAUAACGUAGGGAAACUUACGCUAAUACCGCAUACGACCUACGGGUGAAAGCAGGGGAUCUUCGGACCUUGCGCGAUUGAAUGAGCCGAUGUCGGAUUAGCUAGUUGGCGGGGUAAAGGCCCACCAAGGCGACGAUCCGUAGCUGGUCUGAGAGGAUGAUCAGCCACACUGUAACUGAGACACGGUCCAGACUCCUACGGGAGGCAGCAGUGGGGAAUAUUGGACAAUGGGCGCAAGCCUGAUCCAGCCAUACCGCGUGGGUGAAGAAGGCCUUCGGGUUGUAAAGCCCUUUUGUUGGGAAAGAAAAGCAGCAGGUUAAUACCCCGCUGUUCUGACGGUACCCAAAGAAUAAGCACCGGCUAACUUCGUG